UGAAGCUUGAGCAUCCAGGGCCGGUGGUGCUGGGCCUUUAGAAGCAAGGCUUAGCUGAAAGAAGUGGGCACAAGAGGGCCCCACAAAACCUGGAUUUUCCCUGGUUUCAGGACCCACCGGACCCACAAACACCCUUGGGGCACAGAGAACAGAAAGGCAGGAGGUAGUCUGCAGGUCGCAGGGCCCCGUGGAGCUGCAGUGAGGCCUCAGGUUCCGGGAAAAGGCCCUGCAGAUUCCCAGGAGAAAUGCUAUUUGGAGGAGUUGGAGGGAGCUGUGGAGACGUCGAGGGAGAUUCUCAGAGGGCUGAAGCUCGGGGAUGAGGGUUUUGUGCCUUAUGUCACAGC